rnacentral:rRNA from 1 species
GUAUUGCUACGUGCCCAAGUGCCGCCUGUUUAUCAAAACAUCGCCUCUUGCUCACAAAUAAGAGGUCCAGCCUGCCCAGUGACUUUGUUCAACGGCCGCGGUAUCCUAACCGUGCGAAGGUAGCGUAAUCACUUGUCCUUUAAAUAAGGACUAGUAUGAAUGGCCCCACGAAGGCUAUACUGUCUCCUUUUUCUAAUCAAUGAAACUAAUCUUCCCGUGAAGAAGCGGGAAUAACUAUAUAAGACGAGAAGACCCUAUGGAGCUUUAAACUAUUGAAACACUUGCUUUAUUACUCUUUCCUCCUGAGCCCUUUCAAAUAUUUUAGCAUUUUUAUUUCUAGUUUUAGGUUGGGGUGACCACGGAGUAAAACUUAACCUCCAUGAUGUAAGAGAUUCCUCUUAGCUGAAAGUUACCACUUUAAGCACCAAAAAUUGACUUCCAUUGACCCAAAUAAUUGAUCAACGAACCAAGUUACCCUAGGGAUAACAGCGCAAUCUACUUCAAGAGCUCAUAUCGACAAGUAGGUUUACGACCUCGAUGUUGGAUCAGGGUAUCCUAGUGGUGCAGCCGCUACUAAUGGUUCGUUUGUUCAACGAUUAAAACCCUACGUGAUCUGAGUUCAGACCGGGCACUUGGGCACGUAGCACAA